AACGAACGCUGGCGGCGUGGAUAAGACAUGCAAGUCGAACGGGAUUACUUUUGGUAGCAAUACCGAGAGUAAUUUAGUGGCGAACGGGUGCGUAACACGUGGGCAAUCUGCCGAAAAGUGGGGAGUAGCUCGCCGAAACGGACGGAAUUAAAUUAACCGCAUGUGGUGGAGGGAAGGAACAUCUUCCUUCGAAUACCAAACGACC
rnacentral:rRNA from 1 species